rnacentral:rRNA from 1 species
UACGUAGGGCGCAAGCGUUUGUCCGGAAUUAUUGGGCGUAAAGAGCUCGUAGGCGGUCUGUUACGUCCGCUGUGAAAACCCAGGGCUUAACCCUGGGCUUGCAGUGGAUACGGGUAGACUAGAGGCAGGUAGGGGAGAAUGGAAUUCCCGGUGUAGCGGUGAAAUGCGCAGAUAUCGGGAGGAACACCGGUGGCGAAGGCGGCCUGCUGGGCAGUAGCUGACGCUGAGGCGCGACAGCGUGGGGAGCAAACAGG